GUGGGUUCUCUGUGGGCAGCUCAGACUGUGGGCAGAGGCUUUGGCUACGUUUGUCAUCAUUACCAUUUUAUAGCAGGUUUUCUGGAAUGCGAAUUUACUACACUUAACAUGUUAAAAGUGACCAAAAUGACCAGUGAUGAUCGGCAGGGAAUCACAGCUCCUCUGAGGGAGUUAGCAGCCGGGCCACUCACAGCCUCUCCAGACACAAGGCCUCCAGGCACAGCUCCUGGGUAUGGGCGUGGGCAUGGGCCACCCUGGGGGCCUCACCGGCAGAGUCAUAGAUGCUGCUGCUCCCAGAGCAGACUCCAGUGCAGCCCCUUGGGGACCCUUUGCGUGGGAGGAGUCGGGCAACGGCAGCCCAGCGCCUUGAGGUCAGCACCUGUGUGGCCGGCUGGAGAGGGGCGGAAUCACCCCGGGGCCUUCAGAGUCGAUCAGUCCAUCAGGCUGGGCUCUGUCCCCGGGCAGGGAGUGGCCCAUUGGUGGUUCCUACUGUCACGAAGCCCAUGGGCAGAGAAAGUAAAGCAAUCCUUAACAAAUAAGUAACUAGGAACUCAAAGAUCUUCCCAAUAAAAGCCCAUCAGCUAUGUCAUGACCUUAAAAUUUGACCUUGAAAGAAGAGUUUGGGGGCUGGGCAUGGUGGCUCACUCCUGUAAUCCCAGCGCUCUGGGAGGCUGAGGCGGGCAGAUCGCUUGAGCCCAGGAGUUCAAGACCAGCCUGGCCAACAUGGCGAACCCCGUCUCUACUAAAAAUACAAAAGUUAGCCGGAUGCAGUGGUGCACGCCUGUGGUCCCAGCUACUCGGGAGUCUGAGGCAGGAGGAUCUCUUGAACCCAAGAGGUCGAGGCUGCAGUGAGCGGAGAUGGCACCACUGCACUCCAGCCUGGCUGACAGAGCAAGACCUUGCCUCAAAAACAAGGAAAGAAGAGUUUUGGGAUGGCUUCCCGCACCCUGCUUACUUUCACUCUGAAACAAGUGAGGCUGGAGCCCUUCACCCUGGGAGGUGGGCAGGGUGCCCCAGGAGGCCUCUGCUGCGGGGGUCCUACAUUUUAGUGCACCCCAGCGUCCAGAACCCAACUCCCUGCAGCAGUGGCCUGGUGGCCGUGACGCGGCACGUGGCCUGGUGGCCGGGACAUGGUGUGUGGCCUGGUGGCUGGGAUGUGGCUGUGGCCUGUGGCUGUGAACGCAGCGCAUGGCCUGGUGGCUGUGACGUGGCACGUGGCCUGGUGGCUGUGAUCCCUGGUGCACAUGAGGGAGUUUUAGUUUUGUGCUUGCGUUCCUAGUCAUGUCAUAAUCCAGCUCAGACCUGGACAUGACCUCAGCCCAGGCCGUGCCCGGUCCCCCUACUCCGUGGUUCCCCCGUGGGACUCGCAUUCCUUCAUUUUUAUCCCGCGUUGCACGUUCCUCCAAGUCCUGUUGUUUCCUCGGGGCCAUUUUUAACUUUCUGAAAAGACUUGAGGCCAUCUGUGAUCUUCCAGGACUUCCUUUUAUGUAUUUCUUGUUAAACUUCAUCUGCAGAGCACUGUGUGGCCAUAAUGUGGCACCUGCUGUGUGUUAUCCCGUCGGGUGAAACGCUACAUUUAAAUCCCCGCUUGUGAGGGGACUGAGGGGUGCGCAGGUGUUUCCUGGUGUGUACACCAAGAACACAUCUUGGCGAGGUUUCUCUAGGGUGCAUGCCCAGGAGGAAGUGUGGCUCGUGGGGCAGGUGGACGUACAUCUGUUCCUGGAACUCCCCCAACUGCAGGCCCGAGAACACGGUGUGAGGAUCGCUGGCUCCUGCAGGACGUGGACGUGGCAGGGGCCUGG
rnacentral:lncRNA from 1 species